AGGGUUUGAUCAUGGCUCAGGACGAACGCUGGCGGCGUGCCUAAUACAUGCAAGUAGAACGCUGAAGGAGGAGCUUGCUUCUCUGGAUGAGUUGCGAACGGGUGAGUAACGCGUAGGUAACCUGCCUGGUAGCGGGGGAUAACUAUUGGAAACGAUAGCUAAUACCGCAUAAUAGUAGUUGUUGCAUGACAACUGUUUGAAAGGUGCAAUUGCAUCACUACCAGAUGGACCUGCGUUGUAUUAGCUAGUUGGUGGGGUAACGGCUCACCAAGGCGACGAUACAUAGCCGACCUGAGAGGGUGAUCGGCCACACUGGGACUGAGACACGGCCCAGACUCCUACGGGAGGCAGCAGUAGGGAAUCUUCGGCAAUGGACGGAAGUCUGACCGAGCAACGCCGCGUGAGUGAAGAAGGUUUUCGGAUCGUAAAGCUCUGUUGUAAGAGAAGAACGAGUGUGAGAGUGGAAAGUUCACACUGUGACGGUAUCUUACCAGAAAGGGACGGCUAACUACGUGCCAGCCGCCGCGGUAAUAC
rnacentral:rRNA from 1 species